UGAGAUCUGCACCAGAGCCAGUAUUUACAGAGAAUCAGCUGCGCUUUGCUUCCUGUUUGCUUCACUUUCCUUUCAAACAAGAAGUCUGAGUGUUCCCACAGGAAGUGGAACUGGUUCGGUGUUGGAGCGCUGGGGGACAGGGUGGUCUAAUGGUUAGAGUGGUCGACUCCCAGGAGAAGGGUCCUUGGUUCGAUCCCCAACGUCCACAUUCAAACCGCUGGUAUCCUAGUGCAGGUUGACCCCUGACCCCCUAGCAGGUUGACCCCUGACCCCUAGCCGCUCCUUCAUCAUCUGUGUCGGAAUUCACCGGAAGGGUCUUUGGAUGAAAGUGCACGCUACCUGACCUAAUGGGAACCAGACCGUCUUUAGUAUGAACACACAGGAGAUAAAAGAAAGAUCAGACCGCUGCUUAACGUUUAACAAGGGUUAAUGGUCUGUGUAAUACUUCAGGUAACCUUCUGAUACUCUCUCCCUCUUUCCUCUCUCCCUCUUUGCCUCUCCUGACAGGUGAGCCAGCAGACAGAACAGGGCGGGGCCACCAGGUAACGUAGUUCUCCUGGGAGCUCCUGGUCCAUGUCCUUUUGUGGUCUCCUGUCUUCUGUGGUCUCCUGUCUUCUUCUUCGGUGGUCUCCUGUCUUCUUCUCCUGUGGUCUCCUGUCUUCUUCCUCUGUGGUCUCCUGAUCUUCUUCUUCUGUGGUCUCCUGUCUUCUUCUUCUGUGGUCUCCUGUCUUCUUCUUCUGUGGUCUCCUGUCUUCUUCUUCUUCUUCUUCUUCUUCUUCUUCUUCUUCUUCUUCUUCUUCUUCUUCUUCUUCUUCUUCUUCUUCUUCUUCUUCUUCUUCUUCUUCUGUGGUCUCCCGUGGUCUUCUGUGUUCUCCCGUCUUCUUCUGUGUUCUCCUGUGUUCUUCUGUGGUCUCCUGUCUUCUUCUGUGGUCUCCUGUCUUCUUCUUCUGUGGUCUCCUGUCUUCUUCUUCUGUGGUCUCCUGUCUUCUUCUUCUGUGGUCUCAUGUCUCCUUCUUCUGUGGUCUCCUGUCUCCUUCUUCUGUGGUCUCCUGUCUUAUUCUGUGGUCUCCUGUCUCCUGUCUCCUGUCUCCUGUCUUCUUCUUCUUCUUCUUCUUCUUCUUCUUCUUCUUCUUCUUCUUCUUCUUCUUCUUCUUCUUCUUCUUCUUCUUCUUCUUCUUCUUCUUCUU
ensembl:lncRNA